GCAGCUGGGGAAUUAGCGGUGCCCUGUACCUGCAAUCCGCUACAGCAGGGGUGAUGCCGAUUCUGAGGACGGUCUUUUGUGAGGACUGCCUUUGGUAAGUGACGUUGACGUCUGGGUCUUACGCAAUAGAGGCCUCUGAACCGUGUCAGGUCAGGAAUGGAGCAGCACUAAGGAGUCUCCUUUAUGUGCCGUAAGGCAGCCUGGGCUGAGUUAACUGCCAGAGUAACGCUUGUAGAAGCCAUUCGAGGUUUCGGCGCACG
rnacentral:SRP_RNA from 1 species